rnacentral:lncRNA from 1 species
GGGCUGCCGAGCCGCUUCACCUGCCGCAGAGGGGGCGGCCGGCGCCGCUUCACCUGCCGGAGCGGGAGGCCACCGAGGCGAGGCCGAGGCGGCGGCGCGCUCGGCGGCGCCUCCGGGUCCUAGAACCGCAUCCUCCCGCUCGCCUCGGGCGAGGGAUUGGCCGGGUCUGGGUGAAGGGGAUCACGGCCUGGGGAUUGGAGGGGCACAUCUUCUCCGCACCGAGGAUCUCAGCGACUGCGAGCACGGCUCGGAGACCCACGGUGGUGCAGCGUUGGGGCGCCAGGGCUGCGUUCCCGUCUCGCGUCCCGGACUGAGAAGGUGGGAACCCCCUUCCAGGCCCCCCACCUUUUAUUUCUCUCCUCCCCUGCUUAGCCCAGAGACGAGCUGAGGACGAGGGGGAGCCAUCUCCAAACAGGAACUCCUAAACAGGGUGGGGGGCGCGGACGCAGGCCAGUGGAGACCCCCGCCACCUGUCCCACCUCGACCAACCGUGCGCCUGUGCAGGGCACCCCUACAGGUUUUAGAAUGGGGGCACCUAUGGAAUAUGGCAGGCUGCGAGAAGCUGGGCCCGCCAAGGUGGUCCCAAGGAGGAGUGGGGGGUUGCGGAAAGGAGGAUGAGAGCCAGCCACAAGGCUGGAAAAGGAGUGGGCACCGCAGAGGAGGGAAAAAGAAUCUUGACACUGUCACCGCCAGGGAUCUAGGGGGGCCUCUUACCUUGGAGAAUAACAAUCUCUGAUGUCUGCUAAUUACAGAAAUACUUUCAGAGCUCUUUCAUUCAUCCUGACAAUGGCCAGAGAAGGUAGGUAUUGGUAGCCUUAUUUUAGAGAUGGGGAAACUGAGGCUGAGAGUAGGUAAGUAAGCUGUCCAAGGGCACUCAGCUAACAAAGGACAGAAGCAAGCCUCCUCACUGUCUACCUCCAAAACCUACACUGGCUUGGAGUUGCUGUCCUGGCCCUCCACUGCCCAUCUCAUGUAGGACGGGAGAGUAUGGGGGGCUGGGGUCCCAUCUAUAGCCUGAAUUUGAGACUUUCAGUUGCUCCUCUCAUUCCCCAUUUAAUUUGUGGGGAUCCCCAACUGACCCCUCCCUACACUUCCAGGGCACUGAGGAGGGAGGGCCCGCUGAAGGAGCCCCGAAUUAUCUCUAGGCCAGGUCAGGAGCCAUUAGUGUCCCCUCCCCUGACAGCAUCCUCCUCCUUCUGCCCUCACAUUCAGAGCCACUGACAAGACUUUAAGCAAGAGACGGAGAGUUAACAUCUAAUCUGGAGGAAGACCCUGGAAGGAGCCAGCCCCUUCCCCCAGGCUGACCUGGUUUAAGCCUUUCUUCUGCCAAGGUCACCAGCACCCCAGAUGGGUGAGAGAUGUGAUCACUGGUUUCGUGGCCUGACCAAGGACCUCCAAGAUGGAGUCUCUCGCUGUUGCCCAGGCUGGAGUGCAGUGGCUCGGUCUCAGCUCACUGCAACCUCCACCUCCCAGGUCCAAGCAAUUAUCCAGUCUCAGCCUCCUCAGUAGCUGGGACCACAGGUGCGUGCCACCACACCCAGCUCAUUUUUGUAUUUUUAGUAGAGACGGGGUUUUGCUAUGUUGACCAAGCUGGUCUCGAACUCCUGACCUCAAGUGAUCCGCCUGCCUCGGCCUCCCAAAGUGCUGGGAUUACAGGCAUGAGGCACCCCGUCCAGCCUGGAAGACUUUUUUUUUUAAUGAAUAAAAACACAUUUUUUUA